rnacentral:tRNA from 1 species
GCGCCGCUGGUGUAAGGCGAACAUCGCUGCCCGGAAAGCAGAAGAUGUGGGUUCGAGUCCCGCCUGGCGCA